CUGACUUGAAUCCUAUUCAGCACGUGUGG
rnacentral:sRNA from 1 species